UUCGUCCACAUCCCUCUCGAUGGUAGUCGUAAUCUCCUCACCAAUCCCUAGACCCUUCCACUCCCCCUCUCUUCAGUCUCCAAGAAACCCUCGAUCCCUUCCAUUCUUCGAAAAGGGCCCCGUUGGCUUCCGAUCGACGCUGCGUCAACGUGGCCUCGCCUCGAUGGUGCUGCCCUCCUCCUCCUCUCCCUCCCUCAAAGGUACAUUUGAUGCAGAAUUGAAAAGUCCAAACCCUGGCGUCACAGGAGAGAGCGACUUGCUGAUUGUAGGACCAGGUGUUCUUGGUCGAAUGGUUGCUGAAAAGUGGAGGCAGGAUCAUCCAGACUCUCAGAUUUAUGGACAGACAAUGACAUCUGAUCGUCAUGAUGAAUUGAUCAAAGUUGGGAUAAAACCAUCUUUAAGGGGAAUGUUGACAGAUACUCGGGUUCCUUAUGUUAUUUUCUGUGCUCCUCCAUCAAGAACUGAAGAUUAUCCUGGUGAUAUCAGAAUGGCAGCUUUAAGAUGGAGCGGUGAAGGUUGUUUCUUGUUUACUUCAAGCACUGCUGUAUAUGAUUGCAGUGAUAAUGGACUAUGCGAUGAGUAUUCUCCCAUCGUGCCAAUGGGUAAAAGCCCUCGAACAGAUGUCCUUUUGAGAGCAGAAAGUGUAGUUGGGGAAAUUGGGGGCUGCGUUUUGAGAUUAGCAGGCCUUUACAAAGAAGACAGAGGAGCUCAUACUUACUGGUUGGAGAAAGGAACGGUUCCUUAUCGUCCAGAUCACAUACUCAAUCUUAUUCACUACGAGGUAAACACAUUUACAUCAAUUUUGCAUACUAGGAUGCUGCAUCUCUCGCAAUUGCAAUCAUGAAGAAAAACUUGAGAGGUCGAACGUUUUUAGGGUGUGACGACCAUCCGUUAUCGCGGCAAGAAAUAAUGGAGUGUGUGAAACGAAGCGGAAAGUUCAGCAAGGAGUUUCAGGCUUUCACAGGAACUGAUGGUCCACUGGGUAAGAGGAUGAACAACGCAAAGACUCGAGCAGAAAUCGGAUGGGAGCCUAAAUAUGCAAGCUUUCCCCAGUUUCUUGGGCUCAAGCAAUGAGUGUGUUGAUCUGAUGUUUAUAUCCUGAGCACAUUUGACGGUGCAAUUUGAAGAGGAAACAUAGUUGCAUGUCAAAAGAAGAAAACAGAAGAAAAACCGACGACGACGAUCGCAUUUAAUUGGGCAGUUCCGAUUUGUAUAGCAUUCUAUUUUCAGGGUGAGGAUGAGGAUGAGGAGAGGCUGAUGUGUAAUUUGGGUGAAGAUGAUGAAUUAAAAAUUUAUGCUUGUAUUGGGAAUUGGAAAUUGACCUUGUUUCACAUAGAAGAGCUCAAAUUUUUGGUUAAGUCCUGCCUGUGAAAUCUGAGACAUUCCAGGAGUCUUCAA